rnacentral:rRNA from 1 species
AAUAGAUACCCCGGUAGUCCACACAGUAAACGAUGAAUACUCGCUGUUUGCGAUAUACAGUAAGCGGCCAAGCGAAAGCAUUAAGUAUUCCACCUGGGGAGUACGCCGGCAACGGUGAAACUCAAAGGAAUUGACGGGGGCCCGCACAAGCGGAGGAACAUGUGGUUUAAUUCGAUGAUACGCGAGGAACCUUACCCGGGCUUGAAUUGCAGAGGAACAUAGUUGAAAGAUUAUGGCCGCAAGGUCUCUGUGAAGGUGCUGCAUGGUUGUCGUCAGCUCGUGCCGUGAGGUGUCGGCUUAAGUGCCAUAACGAGCGCAACCCUUAUCAUUAGUUACUAACAGGUCAUGCUGAGGACUCUAGUGAGACUGCCGUCGUAAGAUGUGAGGAAGGUGGGGAUGACGUCAAAUCAGCACGGCCCUUACGUCCGGGGCUACACACGUGUUACAAUGGGGGGUACAGAGGGCAGCUACCGGGCGACCGGAUGCCAAUCCCAAAAACCUCUCUCAGUUCGGAUCGAAGUCUGCAACCGACUUCG